UGAAAUUCUCUUAAUCUCUCAAGAACUCUCUCUUUUUCCAACCUCCAUUGAACAACAAGAAAAGCUUAAGGAAUAAGACGAAGGUUGCGAAGUUUCCAAUCAAGAUUUAUUGGAUUCUUCAUAUAUAAGAAGCACUCAUCUCUCAGAGUAAAGACUAUGUAUUCUCUGAUGGAACUUUCCUUCUCCGAUAACUAAAACUCCCAUCUCCUUCAAUCUUCAUCUCAAUGCAUCUACUACUAUAACAUUAUACUUAGUAUUUGGUUGUCAUUAACUUGAAGUAAGCCUUUAUCUUUAUUUUUUCCCCUUGAUUUUGCUAAAGAUACUCUCAAGAUAUUUACUUUACAGAUCGUAAUCAGGAAGAAGAGCAGUAACCGCCACAGACAGGUAUUGUAAAUUUUAACUUCUUAUUUGGUCUUAUUUUGUAGACAAAUAUAUUCUAGACUUUAACUUCUUUAUUGGGUUUAUUUGUUGGACAUAAUGUUGUACUUAUAGAGGAAACUCAUGCGAUUGUCUUACAAGCUGUCUUUUUGAACAAAAUAUUCUUU